rnacentral:rRNA from 1 species
GACGAACGCUGGCGGCGUGCCUAAUACAUGCAAGUCGAACGCAUUUUCUUUCACCGUAGCUUGCUACACCGAAAGAAAAUGAGUGGCGAACGGGUGAGUAACACGUGGGUAACCUGCCCAUCAGCGGGGGAUAACACUUGGAAACAGGUGCUAAUACCGCAUAAUUCCAUUUACCGCAUGGUAGAUGGAUGAAAGGCGCUUUUGCGUCACUGAUGGAUGGACCCGCGGUGCAUUAGCUAGUUGGUGGGGUAACGGCCUACCAAGGCUGCGAUGCAUAGCCGACCUGAGAGGGUGAUCGGCCACACUGGGACUGAGACACGGCCCAGACUCCUACGGGAGGCAGCAGUAGGGAAUCUUCGGCAAUGGACACAAGUCUGACCGAGCAACGCCGCGUGAGUGAAGAAGGUUUUCGGAUCGUAAAACUCUGUUGUUAGAGAAGAACAAGGAUGAGGGUGGAAAGUUCAUCCCUUGACGGUAUCUAACCAGAAAGCCACGGCUAACUACGUG